ACUUAUCCUCUUCAUUUCUUCCUCCUCACUCUGAAGUGGAGAAAACCAUACAAACCCCAGCCAGAUGAAUACUCCAGGAGGAUUACUCGAUCCCAACGUACGCCAAUCAAAUCACAAAAACCAGCUGCAAAGGAGAAAUAUGCUUGUAAAUGAAUGAUAGUCAAAUGAAAAUUAUCAGUAAAAUAAAGAUGAUAUUGAAGAAGAAGAAGAUGUAAGAAGACAAGUACAGAUCGUUUGACUGGACAUAGAAAUACAAUUGAAUUUAAUUUAAAUCUGUGUUUACGAAGAAGAUGGUGUGAGAUGUGAUGAAUUUUAAGCUGAAUCUAUAGUUUAAUUGAUAUUGUCCUCCACUUAAAAGACUACUGAUUUUUUGGUUUUUCAGGAUUUGAGUGGCUCGUCUAAUCUGAGGUCUUAUCUGGAGUCUGAAGAGGAGAUUUCUUAAUGCUUGGUGCUCAUCAGUGUUUAAGUGCAUUUCUUUGCUUCAUUGGGGACUGUUCUGUUCAUCAAGACUAAACAUAUUUCAAUGCCACAUAAUGAUGUCAAUUGCUUCUGCCAUUGCCCAAUUUAUCUUUUUCACAUAACUGAAAACAUGAAUUUUGAGCUCUAGAAAUGUCCCUGAACUUGAAUUGGCAUUCAACUAUAUUUCUGUAGCGAGCUUAAGUAGGGCAACUGGUAUUACGGAAUAAAGUAUUUUGCAACUCUAGGUUGGUCACUGGCGAUACUAACUUUGAUGAUCUUAAAAUUUGGUGCAGGGGAAGUAUUUAAAUACUUUGAAUUGAUGGUAGUGCAUAUCAUGUGGCUCCUGAAGUGUUUUGACGGCAUUACGGAGCAGAAGCUGAUAUCUGGAGUGUUGAUGUGAUACUGUACAUUCUUCUUAGUGGAGUCCCAGCCACAUGGCAGUGUCACGUCUUGGUUAUGAAUUAUGUAAUAGCGAACUUGAAACCAACACAGGGAUUUCCAGUUUUGGCAGGGAAUCAAAUACUUAGCUUUUUUGUGUUGUUGAAAACGGUGCUCAAGUUGGUGCAAAUAUCUUAUCUUAUCUGGGAAUCUUUUUAGACCAAGCAAGAGCACUUGAUGAACUUAUUCCACACUGGAAACAACAACAGUAUUGUUGUUAAAGGAGUUGUUUGCAAGAAAAAUGUUUCCAACCGGCGGAUGACUUCAAAAAUUGAGAAGCCCCGUUUUCUUAUCCUUGGCGGAGCUCUUGAGCAUCACGGGUGUCUAAUCAUUUAUCAAGUUUUGAUACUCUACUGCAGCAGGAAACAGAUCAUUUGAAGAUGGCAGUAGCAAAGAUAGUUGCUCAUCAUCCCAAUGUCUUACUGGUAGAAAUCAGUUCACGUUUCACUCAAGAAUACCUCUUUGAAAAAAACAUCUCUUGUUCUCAAUAUCAAGAGGCCUUUGUUAGAGCGCGUGUGGCACGCUGCACAGGUGCACAAAUAGUUCCUUCAAUUGAUCAUCUUUCCACUCAAAAGCCGGGUUAUUGUGAAGCAUUCCACGUGGAGAAGUUCCUUGAAGCACAUGGGAGCACUGGGCAGGGAGGAAAGAAAUUGGUGAAGACACUUAUGUUUUUUGAAGGGAGCCUCGAGCCAUUUGGUUGUACUGUUCAAUAAAAUGGUCGCUUGCUUUGGAUAUGAAUCGAUGGAUGUUCACUCAGUAUACCUUCCACCCUGAGGUCAAUCAGGAGUCUAUACAAAAAUGUACGGAGGAGUCUGCAAGUGGUGCAGAAAAGCUUGUAUCAACAAACUCAAAUUCCAAGCAAAGUGGUAAAGAUUCUCCCAGUGAUAAAAAGUGCAAGCUGGAUGGAAACAGUGAGCAGGUGGAUUCUUCACAGAUCAUAACACCACAGGGUCCAGGCCACAUCUUUUAUCAAGCUUAAGUUCAAAUGCCCCGACCAAUCCUUUGGAGACUGAAAAUACAUGUGGGAGGGCAAUCUCAGAGGAUCAGUUUCCGAUUGUAGCGAACCUUGAUGCAGCAUGGACUAGUAAAAACAUGCCAGGGAGUACGAUACUGGAAUUAACGGUGAAGUGGCAGCAGAUUCAUCAACCCAAGGCAAAACUCAUAUGAAGUUGUUAAAGUUGGAAAAGCAUUUCGAAGACCUGGGUAUGGCUGAGGUCACUGAAUCUCAUCAUCCCGUGAAAGGAGCAGAUAACUCAGACGACAACAACACGGGUUGGAUUAGGAUGCCUCUGGGUGGUUUAUGAUUCAUUGAAUCUUCUUCAGUCGUUUCAUUCUUUCGAUGAAACAGAAGCCUCUGAAUCGUUUAGAAAUCUUGGGUCUAUGGAUAGUAGCAUUUUAUCCAUGUCUGGUCCUUGGAGCUCUUUGAUUCCAGUCCGCUCAAGGCGUUGCUUGUUAGAGUGGCAUUCAGUGACAAUGGUCCAUUUGGAAGGUGAAGUAUGUGCAAAGGGGUUUGAAGCCUUAAGGAGGACAUCUGUGCUAGAUUUCGUAAGGUCCCUGAAUCUCAGGGUGGUAAGAGCAACACCUAUUUUACUAAAUCACUGGACGAUCAGUUUAUCAUUAAAGGGUUAACGAAGAGAGAAAUAUGGUCAUUUAUCAAGUUUGCAGCAGCGUAUUUGAAGUUUUUAUCUGAAUCGAUCGCAACAAGAUGCACAACUUGCCUGGCAAAGAUUUUGGGGAUCUACCAGGGGGGACUUGAUUGGAUUUCAUGGUUCCCUGUUUCAAAUUGAAUGCACUCAGAGAACGCUGGACUGAAGCCCGGUGAUCCGUCUUGAUGAAACCUUUCCUGUUGCGGUCCCUAUCCAGAAUACGAUUCAGCAAAUGAUGAAGAUCGUUCUCCUUGGGCCUGGUAAUAAUGCAAUCCCCUGGUACCUUGACAUUAUUAGCGAGGAAGUCUGGGCAUAGUUGAAAAGCUGAAGUCAUUCCAGUUCCAACGGCCAUUCGAAUUGGUUAUCUGUGCCUGAAUCCUCUGCAUUAUCUUUUGAUACAACACUAGAUAUUUCUUCUCAUACAAAUCCAAUUUUACUAGUGCUUCCAUGUCAUGAAUGUGAGGUCUUAGUCUUUUAUCCAUCAAGAUCUUAAUGACAAAUCUGUUUUCUGUUGUAAUGGUAACCAAUCUCUUGACUUGCUCUUUCUACUGCUAACAACUCAUAAAAGUCAAUAUCUUCAUUUGGG